AGCGAACGCUGGCGGCAGGCCUAAUACAUGCAAGUCGAGCGGCCCUUCGGGGCAGCGGCGGACGGGUGAGUAACGCGUGGGAAUGUGCCCUUUGGUACGGAACAACACAGGGAAACUUGUGCUAAUACCGUAUGUGCCCUUCGGGGGAAAGAUUUAUCGCCAUUGGAGCAGCCCGCGUUGGAUUAGGUAGUUGGUGAGGUAAAGGCUCACCAAGCCUACGAUCCAUAGCUGGUCUGAGAGGAUGAUCAGCCACACUGGGACUGAGACACGGCCCAGACUCCUACGGGAGGCAGCAGUAGGGAAUCUUGCGCAAUGGGCGAAAGCCUGACGCAGCCAUGCCGCGUGAAUGAUGAAGGUCUUAGGAUUGUAAAAUUCUUUCACCGGGGAAGAUAAUGACGGUACCCGGAGAAGAAGCCCCGGCUAACUUCGUGCCAGCAGCCGCCGUAACAC
rnacentral:rRNA from 1 species